rnacentral:rRNA from 1 species
AUUGAACGCUGGCGGCAGGCUUAACACAUGCAAGUCGAGCGGAGAUGAGGUGCUUGCACCUUAUCUUAGCGGCGGACGGGUGAGUAAUGCUUAGGAAUCUGCCUAUUAGUGGGGGACAACAUUCCGAAAGGAAUGCUAAUACCGCAUACGUCCUACGGGAGAAAGCAGGGGAUCUUCGGACCUUGCGCUAAUAGAUGAGCCUAAGUCGGAUUAGCUAGUUGGUGGGGUAAAGGCCUACCAAGGCGACGAUCUGUAGCGGGUCUGAGAGGAUGAUCCGCCACACUGGGACUGAGACACGGCCCAGACUCCUACGGGAGGCAGCAGUGGGGAAUAUUGGACAAUGGGGGGAACCCUGAUCCAGCCAUGCCGCGUGUGAAGAAGGCCUUAUGGUUGUAAAGCACUUUAAGCGAGGAGGAGGCUACUGAGACUAAUACUCUUGGAUAGUGGACGUUACUCGCAGAAUAAGCACCGGCUAACUCUGUGCCAGCCGCCGCUGUAA